rnacentral:tRNA from 1 species
AAGAGAUUAGUUAAUUUUUUUAUAACAUUAAUUUGUCAAAUUAAAAUAAUUUUUUAAAUAUCACUUA